rnacentral:tRNA from 1 species
ACCUAGCUGGCUCAGUCAGUAGAACAUGAGACUCUUGAUCUCAGGGUUGUGAGUUCAAGCCCCAUGUUGGGUG